rnacentral:tRNA from 1 species
AUUUAGAUAGCUUAAUAGAGCAUUACAUUGAAGCUGUAAAGGUGGCACUCCUUUAAAUA